rnacentral:rRNA from 1 species
AGAGUUUGAUCCUGGCUCAGGAUGAACGCUGGCGGCGUGCCUAAUACAUGCAAGUCGAUCGGGGGCAGCAAUGCCCCAGAGGCGUACGGGUGAGUAACACAUAGGUAACCUGCCCUCGGGUUUGGGAUACCCAGACGAAAGUUUGGCUAAUACCGGAUAACAACGGAUGUCGCAUGACGUCCGCUUGAAAGGCGCUUUCAAGCGCCGCCCCUGGAUGGACCUGUGCCGCAUUAGCUAGUUGGUGAGACAACAGCCCACCAAGGCGAGGAUGCGUAGCCGAUCUGAGAGGAUGACCGGCCACAAUGGGACUGAGACACGGCCCAUACUCCUACGGGAGGCAGCAGUAGGGAGUUUUCGGCAAUGGGGGAAACCUUGACCGAGCAACGCCGCGUGAGUGAUGAAGGUCUUCGGAUCGUAAAGCUCUGUUACGAGGGACGAAGGACCGGCUCAGGAAAUGGGGCCGGUUUGACGGUACCUCGCCAGAAAGUGACGGCUAACUACGUGCCAGCAGCCGCGGUAAUACGUAGGUCACGAGCGUUAUCCGGAAUUAUUGGGCGUAAAGAGUGAGCAGGCGGCAUGGUAAGUCCGUAGUCAAAGCGUGGGGCUCAACCCCAUAUAGCUUCGGAUACUGCCAGGCUAGAGUACGUCAGAGGUCAACAGAACUCCAUGUGUAGCGGUGAAAUGCGUAGAUAUAUGGAAGAAUACCGGUGGCGAAGGCGGUUGACCAGGGCGAUACUGACGCUCAGUCACGAAAGCGUGGGGAGCAAAUAGGAUUAGAUACCCUAGUAGUCCACGCCGUAAACGAUGAUGGCUAACUAUGCCCGAAAGGGCGUGGUGAAGCAAACGCAUUAAGCCAUCCGCCUGGGGAGUACGGUCGCAAGACUGAAACUUAAAGGAAUUGACGGGACCCCGCACAAGUAGUGGAGCAUGUGGUUUAAUUCGACGCUACGCGGAAAACCUUACCAGGGCUUGACAUCCCGGUGCUAACCAUAGAGAUAUGGCGAGAUUGCCGGUGACAGGUGGUGCAUGGUUGUCGUCAGCUCGUGUCGUGAGAUGUUGGGUUAAGUCCCGCAACGAGCGCAACCCUUGUCCUUAGUAGCCAGCAGUAAGAUGGGCACUCUAGGGAGACUGCCCGGGAUAACCGGGAGGAAGGUGGGGAUGACGUCAAAUCAUCAUGCCCCUUAUGAUUUGGGCUACACACGUGCUACAAUGGCGUAAACAAAGGGAAGCGAGACUGUGAAGUUAAGCAAAUCUCAUAAAUAACGUCUCAGUUCGGAUUGUAGUCUGCAACUCGACUGCACGAAGCCGGAAUCGCUAGUAAUCGCGGAUCAGCAUGCCGCGGUGAAUACGUUCUCGGGCCUUGCACACACCGCCCGUCAA